rnacentral:lncRNA from 1 species
UCGGGUCUGGAUCUCUGAUGGGAUUUCUUCCCGCAAAACACCACAAUAAUGUGCUUGACGGCCAAAAGACAGAGAAGAUCUACCCCAAACAUAAACCAUUGCAAGUGCAGAAGUCACACGACGUGGUGAGAACUUGAUGUCUGCCUUUCACUCGCACGGACUGAAAUGUCUAGACAUCCAAAUUAAGGAGUGACCAAUCACCAACAGACCGAUCCCUCUGCGUACAAGGAAGAAUGAGACGCUGCAGACAACAGGCCUUAACAGUAAUGGCACCACUUCAAAGGACCUGACUUGCCUUCAACUACAACGUGACUU